UACGUAGGUGGCAAGCGUUGUCCGGAUUUAUUGGGUUUAAAGGGUGCGUAGGCGGCUUAUUAAGUCAGUGGUGAAAUACUCUAGCUCAACUAGAGGGGUGCCAUUGAUACUGAUGAGCUUGAGUACAGAUGAGGUAGGCGGAAUUCCGGGUGUAGCGGUGGAAUGCGUAGAGAUCCGGAAGAACACCGGUGGCGAAGGCGGCCUGCUGGGACAUGGCUGACGCUGAGGCGCGACAGCGUGGGGAGCAAACAGG
rnacentral:rRNA from 1 species